rnacentral:rRNA from 1 species
GACGAACGCUGGCGGCAGGCCUAACACAUGCAAGUCGAACGCCGUAGCAAUACGGAGUGGCAGACGGGUGAGUAACGCGUGGGAACAUACCCUUCGGUUCGGAAUAACUCAGGGAAACUUGUGCUAAUACCGGAUACGUCCGAGGUCAAACUUGGAGAAAGAUUUAUCGCCGGAGGAUUGGCCCGCGUCUGAUUAGCUUGUUGGUGAGGUAAUGGCUCACCAAGGCGACGAUCAGUAGCUGGUCUGAGAGGAUGAUCAGCCACAUUGGGACUGAGACACGGCCCAAACUCCUACGGGAGGCAGCAGUGGGGAAUAUUGGACAAUGGGCGAAAGCCUGAUCCAGCCAUGCCGCGUGAGUGAUGAAGGCCUUAGGGUU